CGUCGUGUCGCGGUCCGGGACUGUCCUCAGUCCCGGGUCGUCUCGGCGCGGUUCCGAGCGGUCGCUCCCUCGCGAGGUGCCGCGGGUCAGCGGCUGACGCCAGCCACCUUCCCGACCCGUCUUGAAACACGGACCAAGGAGUCUAACAUGUGCGCGAGCCGCGGGGCAGUACGAAACCCGUAAGGCGAAAUGAAGGUGAACGCCGGCGCGGUCCGGCGGAGGUUGGAUCCCGUCCCGUCGGGGCGGGCGCACUACCGGCCGAUCUUCUCCGCCCUGUCGGCGAGGUCGAGCGAGAGCGUGCAAGUCGGGACCCGAAAGAUGGUGAACUAUGCCUGAGGAGGUUGAAGCCAGAGGAAACUCUGGUGGAGGACCGUAGCGAUUCUGACGUGCAAAUCGAUCGUCAAAUUUGGGUAUAGGGGCGAAAGACUAAUCGAACCGUCUAGUAGCUGGUUCCCUUCGAAGUUUCCCUCAGGAUAGCUGGCGCUCUGUCGCAGUUUUAUCUGGUAAAGCGAAUGAUUAGAGGUCUUGGGGGCGAAACGCCCUCAACCUAUUCUCAAACUUUAAAUUGGUAAGAAGCCCGACUCGCUCGUUUGGAGCCGGGCAUGGAAUGCGAGUGCCAAGUGGGCCACUCUUGGUAAGCAGGACUGGCGAUGCGGGAUGAACCGAACGCCGGGUUAAGGGGCCCGACGCGACGCUUAUCAGAGCCCACAAAAGGUGUUGGUUGAUAU
rnacentral:ncRNA from 1 species